GAAAUGCGAUAAGUAAUGUGAAUUGCAGAAUUCAGUGAAUCAUCGAAUCUUUGAACGCACAUUGCGCCCGCCAGUAUUCUGGCGGGCAUGCCUGUUCGAGCGUCAUUUCAACCAUCAAGCCCCCGGGCCUGUGUUGGGGACCUGCGGCUGCCCGCAGGCCCCGAAAACCAGUGGCGGGCUCGCUGUCACCCCGAGCGUAGUAGCAACACCUCGCCCAGGGAGUGCCGCGGGCACCGGCCGUAAAACCUCGCCCCCCGCGCGAGAAACACCCCAAAGGUUGACCUCGGAUCAGGUAGGAAGACCCGCUGAACUUAA
rnacentral:misc_RNA from 1 species